rnacentral:rRNA from 1 species
UCGGGAAUUUUGCUCAAUGGGGGAAACCCUGAAGCAGCAACGCCGCGUGAGGGAUGACGGCCUUCGGGUUGUAAACCUCUUUUCUCAGGGACGAUGAUGACGGUACCUGAGGAAUAAGCCACGGCUAACUACGUGCCAGCAGCCGCGGUAAUACGUAGGUGGCAAGCGUUGUCCGGAUUUACUGGGCGUAAAGAGCGCGCAGGCGGUCGUGCAAGUCGAGUGUGAAAGCCCCCGGCUCAACUGGGGAGGGUCACUCGAUACUGCUCGACUCGAAGGCGGGAGAGGGAAGUGGAAUUCCCGGUGUAGUGGUGAAAUGCGUAGAUAUCGGGAGGAACACCAGUGGCGAAGGCGACUUCCUGGCCCGUUCUUGACGCUGAGGCGCGAAAGCUAGGGGAGCAAACG